UGAGAAAUGUUGGACAAUUGAAUCAUAUAAUCAUAGAAUGGUUUGGGUUGGAAGGGACCUUCAAGAUCAUUUAGUCCCAACUCCCCUGUCGUGGUCAUGGACACCUUCCACUAGACCAGGUUGCUCAAAGCUCCAACCAGCCUGGCCUUGAACAUUUAUAAGGAUGGGAGAUCCACAACCUCUCUGGGAAACC